AUUGAACGCUGGCGGCAGGCCUAACACAUGCAAGUCGAACGAGUGGCGGACGGGUGAGUAAUGUCUGGGAAACUGCCUGAUGGAGGGGGAUAACUACUGGAAACGGUAGCUAAUACCGCAUACCCUCGGAUGUGCCCAGAUUGGAUUAGCUAGUAGGUUGGGUAAAGGCUCACCUAGGCGACGAUCCCUAGCUGGUCUGAGAGGAUGACCGGCCAAACUGGGACUGAGACACGGUCCAGACUCCUACGGGAGGCAGCAGUGGGGAAGAUUGCACAAUGGGCGCAAGCCUGAUGCAGCCAUGCCGCGUGUAUGAAGAAGGCCUUCGGGUUGUAAAGUACUUUCAGCGGGGAGGCGUUACCGGCAGAAGAAGCAACGGCUAACUCCGUGCCAGCAGCCGCGGUAAUUC
rnacentral:rRNA from 1 species